AGCAGCCGCGGUAAUUCCAGCUCCAAUAGCGUAUAUUAAAGUUGUUGCAGUUAAAAAGCUCGUAGUUGAAUUUCGGGAUCAAUACGUCGGUCGUGCUUCGGUACGUACUGGCGUCAUUGAUUUCUCCCUUCUGACGAACCAUGAUGUCAUUAACUUGGUGUCAUGGGAAAUCAGGACUGUUACUUUGAAAAAUUAGAGUGUUUAAAGCAGGCUCACGCUUGAAUACAUUAGCAUGGAAUAAUGAAAUAGGACGUUCGAUCCUAUUUUGUUGGUUUUAGGAUCAACGUAAUGAUUAAUAGGGAUAGUUGGGGGCAUUAGUAUUCAAUUGUCAGAGGUGAAAUUCUUGGAUUUAUUGAAGACUAACUACUGCGAAAGCAUUUGCCAAGGAUGUUUUCAUUAAUCAAGAACGAAAGUUAGGGGAUCGAAGACGAUCAGAUACCGUCGUAGUCUUAACCAUAAACUAUAGCCGACUAGGGAUCGGAUGAUGUUAAUUUUUAAUGUACUCAUUCGGCGUACCCG
rnacentral:rRNA from 1 species